AUGCUUGCUUUGGCAGCACAGAUACUAAAAUUGGAACAAUACAGAGAAAUUAGCAUGGCCCCAGCGCAAGGAUAACACACAAAUUCAUGAAACUUUCCAUAUUUUU
rnacentral:snRNA from 1 species